ensembl:snoRNA
CUGGCCCUGAAUCAAGGCUGACAGCUUCCUGACGCUGGUGGUUUCAAGCAGGAGCCUAAAGAGAUGUCUUUCUAUGGUCUGCUGGCCGUUUCAGAACCUGGUCAGUGAAAUGGUCAAUUCAUUAGAAAGAAACAGCU